UCUAUUUCAGUAGAGCGUAUGAUGUCGAUGGCUUGAGGUAGAGCACUCAAUGGGCUAGGGUGGCCUCAUUUCGCCUUACCAACCCCAGGGAAACUCCGAAUAUAGUCUUAGAUCGUUUGUACAGACAGACUUUUGGGGUGCUAAGAUCCAAAGUCGAGAUAGGAAUUUACCU
rfam:Gossypium arboreum cultivar AKA8401 contig_1700_9, whole genome shotgun sequence.